UACGAAGGGGGGCUAGCGUUGCUCGGAAUCACUGGGCGUAAAGGGUGCGUAGGCGGGUCUUUAAGUCAGGGGUGAAAUCCUGGAGCUCAACUCCAGAACUGCCUUUGAUACUGAGGAUCUUGAGUUCGGGAGAGGUGAGUGGAACUGCGAGUGUAGAGGUGAAAUUCGUAGAUAUUCGCAAGAACACCAGUGGCGAAGGCGGCUCACUGGCCCGGAACUGACGCUGAGACGCGAAAGCGUGGGGAGCAAACAGG
rnacentral:rRNA from 1 species